rnacentral:rRNA from 1 species
GACGAACGCUGGCGGCGUGCUUAACACAUGCAAGUCGAACGAAGUGGCGAACGGGUGAGUAACGCGUAAUCAACCUGCCCUUCAGAGGGGGACAACAGUUGGAAACGACUACUAAUACCGCAUACUGAAGGGGGAGAUUGAGUAUGAUUAGCUAGUUGGCGGGGUAACGGCCCACCAAGGCGAUGAUCAGUAGCCGGUCUGAGAGGAUGAACGGCCACAUUGGGACUGAGACACGGCCCAGACUCGUACGGUAGGCAGAAGUGGGGAAUCUUCCGCAAUGGACGAAAGGCUGACGGAGCAACGCCGCGUGAGUGAUGACGGCCUUCGGGUUGUAAAGCUCUGUUAAUCGGGACGCGGGACCGGAAUAGAAAGCCACGGCUAACUACGUGCCAGCAGCCGCGGUAAUUC